GGUCAAUUAUGACGAUGGAGAUAUAGAAGAUUUGGAUCUUUCAAUAGAACGCUGGGAAUUAAUUAGAGAUGUUAAGUCAGCAGUUGAUGAACAAGAGACUGUGGCAGGUGUUGCCGAUUUAUCUGAAAUAAAGCUUGACCAUGUAACAAAUUCGGAUAGCUCUGCAAGAAGUACGUGCAAGGCUCGGGAUGGUGCUGAAUUACCUGUAUUGAAACGAGAAGUUGAACAGCGCAAGGUUUCCAGAAGCAAUUCAGCACCAUCAACAUCUGAAAGGGUACAAUUUUCCUGUCACUAUUGUGUAUCUAAAAUCUGAUUCUUAGAUAUGAUUAUCAUUCACAAAUUGAUUUCAGUAAUUUAAUGUGCGAGAUGAUUUUUAAGCAC